rnacentral:lncRNA from 1 species
GAGGCUACAUUGAUUGGUUUCGUUAAAGACAGCACAUCUGAAAUGGCAGCUGCACUUGGUUUAACAUGAUUAAAUUUAUGAUAAUCAAAAAUCAUUCUAAAUCUCUGAUGGUGGUACUAAUUUUUGUAUUUCCCUUGGAGAUAUGUUACUGCUUUUGGUUUAUUUCCCUGGUAGGGAAGGCUGGUUGAAGGGGCUUUUAUUUGGCCUUUCCUAGCAUAAUGACCCUUAUUCCGUGGGUCAGACAGCCAAUGUGGAAAUUCGUUUUCCAAGUAUUUCUCUUCCAGUUAUACAUCCAGUAACUGGAAAAUAACCGCAGGUUGUAUUUGUGGACAUACCGUCACACUUAGUUUAAACAGACACGACCACUAGGGGAUUACCCAUCGGGGAUUACCAGAACAAUCACUUUAGCAAAUGCUGCUCAUCCUUUGAAAAACUGUUGGAAGAUUUACAGCAAGGGUCAGCACUUUUUUUCUAUGAAAGGCCAG